UUUGAAUGAGUGUUAGUUCUUCUUAUCUUUUUUUGAAAUUUUUAGUCAAGUAAAGUUAAGUUUAUUUACAAAGUUGAUUAAGAAAAAAUAGUUUGACAUUUCAAUGGCAUAAGGCCAAAGUUUCUAAUUUGCAAUAUGGUCUAAGCUUAAAAAUAAAAAACAAAGAAGAUUUUGAAUAAGGGGAGAGAUUUGAAAUUAAAGUAGUGGGUAGGAGAUGAAGAGACUAAUCCUAAGAAAAAAUUUAAAAGUUAAGAGUUGAAAAGAUCUGACCAAUGGGAUGC
rnacentral:lncRNA from 1 species